rnacentral:rRNA from 1 species
UACGAAGGGAGCUAGCGUUGUUCGGAAUCACUGGGCGUAAAGGGCGCGUAGGCGGGAUGGCAAGUCGGUCGUGAAAUCCUUCGGCUCAACCGAAGAACGUCGGCCGAUACUGCCGUUCUUGAGGGAUGCAGAGGAGACUGGAAUUCCCGGUGUAGCGGUGAAAUGUGUAGAGAUCGGGAGGAACACCGGUGGCGAAGGCGGGUCUCUGGGCAUCUCCUGACGCUGAGGCGCGAAAGCGUGGGGAGCAAACGGG